UAUGAAAAUGCCCUUAAACGGGACUAAGGGGCGUAAAAUAUGUUGUAACUUGAUGAUUUCGGGAUUGGGUAGGAUCCCACAUCCCUCAAAUCUCUCCCUCAUUCCCGUACCUUGUCUCUCUCUCUCUUCUCCCUCACAAAUCUCAGAGCUCUCUCUCUCUCUCUCUCCUUCGAACUCACACGGACCACCCACAAACCACCCUAAAACUAUACCAACGAAGGAUCUAAGACCACCAUCGUAUUCCUGAGGACCACACGAACACGAUGGUACCAAUUUCAGCUUGUAGGAAGCUUGGUGAGGUCCUAAGGAAGCUCGGAGUGCUUCGUUGGACAAAUUUGGACGUCGGGAUAGCUUGGUUCAAAGUUGGCCGGAGCUUUCGAGGCUUUUUCUGGCGAAUCCAUGGCGAGUUAGGGGUCAAGGCAGAAAUUCCGGCAAACACCCACCUCCGGCGAAACCAGUCCGGCGACGCGAGGAAGAAGACGC